rnacentral:rRNA from 1 species
UACGUAGGGGGCAAGCGUUGUCCGGAAUCAUUGGGCGUAAAGAGCGUGUAGGCGGCUCGAUAAGUCUGCUGUGAAAGUCCAGGGCUCAACCCUGGAAGGCCGGUGGAAACUGUCGGGCUAGAGUCCGGAAGAGGCGAGUGGAAUUCCCGGUGUAGCGGUGAAAUGCGCAGAUAUCGGGAGGAACACCAGUGGCGAAGGCGGCUCACUGGACUGGUAUUGACGCUGAGGUGCGAAAGCGUGGGGAGCAAACAGG